rnacentral:rRNA from 1 species
CCUAACACAUGCAAGUCGAGCGGUAGAGAGGUGCUUGCAUCUCUUGAGAGCGGCGGACGGGUGAAGUAAUGCCUAAGGUAAUCUGCCUAGUGGGUGGGGAUAACGUUCGGAAACGGACGCUAAUACCGCAUACGUCCUACGGGAGAAAGCGGGGGGAUCUUCGGACCUCGCGCCAUUAGAUGAGCCUAGGUCGGAUUAGCUAGUUGGUGAGGUAAUGGCUCACCAAGGCGACGAUCCGUAACUGGUCUGAGAGGAUGAUCAGUCACACUGGAACUGAGACACGGUCCAGACUCCUACGGGAGGCAGCAGUGGGGAAUAUUGGACAAUGGGCGAAAGCCUGAUCCAGCCAUGCCGCGUGUGUGAAGAAGGUCUUCGGAUUGUAAAGCACUUUAAGUUGGGAGGAAGGGUAGUAACCUAAUACGUUGCUACUUUGACGUUACCGACAGAAUAAGCACCGGCUAACUUCGUG